rnacentral:rRNA from 1 species
UUGACCUCGGAUCAGGUAGGAAUACCCGCUGAACUUAAGCAUAUCGAUAAGCGGAGGAA